UGAGGAAUAUUGGACAAUGGAUGGAAAUCUGAUCCAGCCAUGCCGCGUGCAGGAAGACGGCCCUAUGGGUUGUAAACUGCUUUUGUAUGGGAGCAAUAAGGACUACGUGUAGUUUGAUGAGAGUACCAUACGAAUAAGCAUCGGCUAACUACGUGCCAGCAGCCGCGGUAAUACGUAGGGUGCGAGCGUUAAUCGGAAUUACUGGGCGUAAAGCGUGCGCAGGCGGUUUUGUAAGACAGAGGUGAAAUCACCGGGCUCAACCUGGGAACUGCCAUUGUGACUGCAAGGCUGGAGUGCGGCAGAGGGGGAUGGAAUUCCGCGUGUAGCAGUGAAAUGCGUAGAUAUGCGGAGGAACACCGAUGGCGAAGGCAAUCCCCUGGGCCUGCACUGACGCUCAUGCACGAAAGCGUGGGGAGCAAACA
rnacentral:rRNA from 1 species